GGUUGACCUCGGAUCAGGUAGGAAUACCCGCUGAACUUAAGCAUAUCAAUAAGCGGAGGAAAAGAAACCAACAGGGAUUGCCUCAGUAACGGCGAGUGAAGCGGCAACAGCUCAAAUUUGAAAUCUGGCCCAGCGCCCGAGUUGUAAUUUGUAGAGGAUGCUUUAGGCGCGGCGCCUUCCGAGUUCCCUGGAACGGGACGCCACAGAGGGUGAGAGCCCCGUAUGGUUGGACGCCAAGCCGCUGUAAAGCUCCCUCGACGAGUCGAGUAGUUUGGGAAUGCUGCUCAAAAUGGGAGGUAAAUUUCUUCUAAAGCUAAAUACCGGCCAGAGACCGAUAGCGAAAAAGUAGAGUGAUCGAAAGAUGAAAAGCACUUUGAAAAGAGGGUUAAACAGCACGUGAAAUUGUUGAAAGGGAAGCGCCUGUGACCAGACCUGCGCCCUGGGGAUCAUCCGGCGUUCUCGCCGGUGCACUCCGCUGGGCUGCAGGCCAGCAUCGGUUCUCCUAGGGGGAUAAAAGCACUGGGAACGUGGCUCCUUAGGGAGUGUUAUAGCCCGUUGCACAAUACCCUUGGGGGGACCGAGGUACGCGCUCCGCAAGGAUGCUGGCGUAAUGGUCAUCAGCGACCCGUCUUGAAACACGGACCAAGGAGUCAAGCAUUAGGGCGAGUGUUUGGGUGCAAAACCCGCACGCGAAAUGAAAGUGAACGUAGGUGAGAGCUUCGGCGCAUCAUCGACCGAUCCUGAUGUUCUCGGAUGGAUUUGAGUAAGAGCCUUACCGCUUGGACCCGAAAGAUGGUGAACUAUGCCUGUAUAGGGUGAAGCCAGAGGAAACUCUGGUGGAGGCUCGCAGCGGUUCUGACGUGCAAAUCGAUCGUCAAAUAUGGGCAUGGGGGCGAAAGUAAGUCUACCAACACCGGGUCUCGUGCCCUGAAGACUUAGUGGACAGAGUGCUAACAGGUCCUCCUUACAGGACUAAUCGAACUAUCUAGUAGCUGGUUACCGCCGAAGUUUCCCUCAGGAUAGCAGUGUUGUUUUCAGUUUUAUGAGGUAAAGCGAAUGAUUAGGGACUCGGGGGCGCUAUUUUGCCUUCAUCCAUUCUCAAACUUUAAAUAUGUAAGAAGCCCUUGUUACUUUGUUGAACGUGGGCCUUCGAAUGCAGCAACACUAGUGGGCCAUUUUUGGUAAGCAGAACUGGCGAUGCGGGAUGAACCGAACGCGGGGUUAAGGUGCCAGAGUGGACGCUCAUCAGACACCACAAAAGGCGUUAAUACAUCUUGACAGCAGGACGGUGGCCAUGGAAGUCGGAAUCCGCUAAGGACUGUGUAAGUCUCAACCCCAACACCCGCUAACGACCGCUAUAACGAAUGCCCUGUACUAACUCUUUUCAAGGUAAAAACUCACCUGCCGAAUGUAUUAGCCCUGAAAAUGGAUGGCGCUCAAGCGUCCCACCCAUACCCCGCCCUCAGGGUAGAAACGAUGCCCUGAGGAGUAGGCGGCCGCGGGGGCGGUGACGAAGCCCAGGGCGUGAGCCCGGGUCGAACCGCCUCUGGUGCAGAUCUUGGUGGUAGUAGCAAAUACUUCAAUGAGAACUUGAAGGACCGAAGUGGGGAAAGGUUCCAUGUGAACAGCGGUUGGACGUGGGUUAGCCGAUCCUAAGCCAUAGGGAAGUUCCGUUUCAAAGGGGCACUCGUGCCCCGAGUGGCGAAAGGGAAGCAGGUCAAUAUUCCUGCGCCUGGAUGCGGGUUUUUCGCGGCAACGCAACCGAACGCGGAGACGGCGGCGGGGGCCCCGGGCAGAGUUCUCUUUUCUUCUUAACGGUCUGCCACCCUGAAAACAGUUUGUCUGGAGAUAGGG
rnacentral:rRNA from 1 species